rnacentral:lncRNA from 1 species
AAGAAGCAAGCCAAAUCUUCACUUGGAGGAAUGUUGGAAUCUUCACUUGGAUGCAUAAAGGCAUUGUCUAGCCGUCCAAAAAGCUGCUUUGGAAGCCCACAUGAUUCCAACCAGCAGCUUGGUUGAAGUUGAAGAAACCCUAGCGCUCAGUGGAUGAGGGCUUGCGCCCAGCGUUAACAAAUGCACCAGCUUCUGCUCACGUUUCUUCACCAGCUUCUUGCUUGUUGGCCAUGUAGCCACUCACGUUUCUUCACACUUGCACAUCUAGCACUUGCUCCAUUGCAUCAUAGUUAACGUUAGCUAAAUAGGCGUUAAUGUUAGCUAAAUAGGCGUGAACCAGGAGCUUUGUUUCUCCUUUAAAUAGCUUGCACCAUUGCUUGUAAACGACACCUUUGAAUUAAAUGAAGAUUGAUUUCUGUUGAUUUAUUCCAGAAUUAUCUUCUUGCUUGAAGGUCACUAAGAGAGAUUGAGAGUUUCCUCUAGCCUCUCUCCCUAGCUAGGCUCAAUUCCUAGCAUUUCUCCACCCAUCCGCAUCACAUUUCAGCACCCAAAUCUCUACCUUCAUUCCACUUUUCUCUAUCACCGUUUCAUCAGUUUAUCACCACCGAUUGGAGUGUUGCUUCAAUUUCUUCUUGAUUUCUUACGUCUUCAUUCCACCAAACACACAUACUCUUUCAAUCUUUCUUCAUUCAGCUGCGUUCUUUCAUCCAUUCAUUCAUGUAACCAACUGCUUGCAUCGGUCAUAUUCACUUGUGAAAAUAGAAGCAGCUACGUCCAUAUCCGUUCGAAGAAGAAGAAGAUCUGGUUGAUAGCUUCCACACCAGAAUCAGCUGGAUCAUUCUUCCAUCAUAUGGUAGUCAGAGCUUAGGUUCGACACACUGUUUGAGCUAAGUGUUUCUUCAUUCCAUUUUGUUUCACUUAUUCUAUUUUGUCAUUCGGUUUAUUCCAUUGUUUAGUUGUUCUUCCAUUCAUUUAUUCGAUCAAAUCUGAUGUGCAACACUGUUUCAUUGCAUCUGAUGUUUGUUUUUAUUUCUUUUAUACAUUUUAAUCGGUGUAAUCUAUUCAUUUGAGUCAUCCCUCUGCUUAAUUCCAUUUUCUUGUUUGUUUUGGUCAUAUGCUCAAACUAUGUUUGAUGCAGUUUUUAUUUGUUUGUGAAAUCUGGUUGUUUUGCUUUUAAAUUCACAAGUAAGUGUUUCAUACAGUUGUUGGUGCAAUUACCAACCAAAUAAAGGCCAUGAGAUGUUGAAUCUAGCCUUGGCGAUAUAUUAGCCAGAAGCAUAGUGCUGCUCAUGUGAAUUUGUAGUCAAUUUUAUUUGUUGGAAGCAAUUCUGAGUUAAUAAGAAAUUUGUUUGAAUCUGCUUCAAUUGAUUUUUUUGUUAAGUUAAAAUUUGAUUUCAAUUAGUUUUGUAUUAGUUGGAAUGACACAUGCUGUUGUGAAAGGAUAGGUACACCAAUUGAGCAAUGAAAUGCAUAUGGAUAGCUUAGGUGCCUAAACCAGAAACAUAAUGCAGUGUUGAAUUUCAGAUUUCAGAUUUCAGCUUUGCACCGUGCUAUUUGAGUUGUGUGUGAGUUUAAUUUGAGUUUAACUCCACCUAGCUGCUGUUUUCCAUCUUGGUCUUGUGUAGUUACACAUUCUAAAGUCACUUUUAACAUUGCCUAGUCCAUUGAAUCUUUUAAACUCAGUUUUGGUGGUGUGGUGAAGUGAUUUUUCUACAUUUUUGGUCAUAACAAAGUCAGAUUUUGAAUGCUAGAAUUUCUAGGCUGUGUGAUAGUUUGAGCAAGUCUAAAAUAAUGUUUAAAAGUUUCUAGCAGAGUUCAAUUAGUGAUAUAAUGGUCUAAGUGCAGAAUAGUAUACUAAACCAUCAAUUUUGAAUCAAAAUUGGGAAGUGGCAAGGUGUUUUUGAGUAAUAGUUUGGAUUUGAGCCAAUUCAAAGUUUGAACAUGUUUAAAUCACCAAACAAGAUUGUUAAAGUGGUUAGUUUUGAGCUAGAGCCACUGCCGUGAUAUUUCGUGUCUCAAACGACCAAAUUGUGAGUCAUUUUUGUGGCAAAAUUGAACCAGACAACACUUUGAGCCUAAUUGCUUGUGGUUAAAGACUUUGAUUGCAGAAAAAAGCCUAGGAUUCAAGAGGGAGGGUAUUAUGAAAACCCAUUUAGGGCAUUCCAUUCAAAGGAGUACUAACUAAGCUAAGGCUAAGAAAGAGAAUUAAAGAAAGACUAUUGAAGACACUUUCUUGAUUUUCUUUCUCUAAGUCUUAGAAGGAUUCUCUUUAAUAUGUUUAUAUGUGUGUUGUAGGUCUAAUAAAGCUAGGAGAUCAUGGAUCAACUAGCCAAGAAACUUGAUAAAUCAAGGGAAAGGAAACAUCAAGAAUGAAUAAGCAAGCCAAAUCUUCACUUGGAGGAAUGUUGAAAUCUUAACUUGGAUGCAUAAAGGCAUUGUCUAACUGUCCAGCAAGUUGCUUUGGAAGCCCACAUGAGUCACAUUCCAACCAGCAGCUUGGUUGAAGUUGAAGAAAGCCUAGCGCUCAACGGAUGAGGGCUUGCACCCAGCGCCAAUAAAUGCACCAGCUGCUGCUCACGUUUCUUCACCAGCUUCUUGCUUGUUGGCCACGUAGCCAUUCACGUUUCUUCACCCUUACACAACUAGCACUUGCUCCAUUGCAUCAUAGUUAACGUUAGCUAAAUAGGCGUGAACCAGGAGCUUUGUUUCUCCUUUAAAUAGCUUGCACCAUUGCUUGUAAAUGAUACCUUCGAAUUAAAUGAAGAUUGAUUUUUGUUGAUUUAUUCCAGAAUUAUCUUCUUGCUUGAAGGUCACCGAGAGAGAGCUUGAGAGUUUCCUCUAGCCUCUCUCCCUAGCUAGGCUCCAUUCCUAGCAUUUCUCCACCCAUUCGCUUCACAUUUCAGCACCCAAAUCUCUACCUUCAUUCCACUUUUCUCCAUCACCGCUUCAUCAGUUUAUCAUAAUUCCUUUUGCAGUUUCUCAUUAUCGUCCAACAAAUUAUUAAUUCUAUCCUCAUAAUCUCUUCUAUCAGAGUUUAGUCGAUUAACCUUAUAGUGAAGUUGCAUUGCCUCUUCAUGGAUCUCCUGAAAAGCAUCAAGCAGCAUGUCAUACUUGACCUCAAUUGGCUCGUUUUCAAACUCUUCUUCACCAUCACAAUUUUCAUCACUGGAAGAAUCUGUAUCACUGUUUUCCCAAGCAAUAUAUGCACUUUUCUUCUUCCUGCUCUUGUCUUGAGGAAACCUUAUGCUCGCUCUUUGUUUGACUUUCAGGUCUAGACAUUCAGGUUUAAUAUGUCCUUCCUUUCCACGUUCAUAGCACUGGACAAUAUUUGUUCUUGCAACUUUCUUUCCUUUUCCAGUACUUGCAUGGUCAGUAAAUGAACUUUUGUUUUUCAUGAAUCGAUUGAACUUUCUUACCACCAUUGUUGGAAACCCAUUUAGAGCAUUCCAUUCAAAGGAGUACCGACUAAAACUAAGGCUAAGAAAGAGAAGUUGGAGAAGGACUUUUAGAAGCUCUUUCUUGAUUUUCUUUCUCUAAGUCUUAGAGGAAUUCUUUUUAAUAUGCUUAUAUGUGUUUUGUAGGAUCCAAUAAAGUCAGGAACCAUGGAUCAGCCAACCAGAAUUUUGGAAGCUUUUCAAGUUGGCAGCACUGGUAGCGCUCAGCGCCAGUCAUGUGCUGCUCAGCACUAGCAGAGCCGCAUUCUACACAUUUUUGAUGCAUUUUCCAUGUGACCCAACAUGCCUUCCGUGGUCCAGCUAGCUUGACCUCCAAGCUUGACUUUCAUUUGAAUUUUGGAGGGAAUUUGGACCAGAUUUGAGGCCCCUCUUCACCUAUAAAUAAGAGGGUCUCUCCAUUGUAUAUUUUCAGUUUUGGAUGUAAUGAAAUGUUGCAGAAUUGCUUGCUUAGCCUCUUAUAUCCCUUAGUCACCUUUGAAUUUCGAAUUCAGAUACUCUCCUCUAGCUUCCUUCCUUAGUAGGAAGGCCAUCUGAGCUUGGAGACAUCAUAGACACACCAUACCUUCAUCCAAACUUUCAUCAAACACCUUCUGUGAAUCAUCCAUUUCACUGCACCAAUUCUCAUUCCGUUGUGUAUCUGUUUUGGAGCUUCUUUUUGCUUGCUUUAUGCUAGGAGAGGGUUCCAUCAAGUGAUAUAUUGAGCUUAGGUCGUCCACGCACCAAGAGCUAAGCUAUUCCUCCAUCUUUGCACUUCAUUUUUACAUUCUGUUGUCACUUUGUUUCUGUUUUCUUGUUUCUGUUUUGCUGCUGUUAUAGCAUUCUGGUGCUGUUUUUGUUUCUAUUUUUGUGCUUGAUUCAGUGUUUCCAGUUCUAAUUUUGUGUUUCUAGUGUGUGAGCAUGUUUGUCUUUCAUUUUAAUCGGUGAAUUCCAUUUGCUUGAGUCUAUUUCAGCCUUAAUUUUCAAUUUCAGUUUGUCAUAAGUCAUGUGCAUGUUUUGAUGCAGUGUUGUUUUUGUUUUGGUCAAGUUUAAUCCGUUUCAGCUUUGACUUUCGAUUUUAAGUGAGUUUAGAUGCAAGUGUAGCCAUAUAUCAACCAUAUGAGGCAAUGAAAACAUGUUCUAGCCUUGGUGAUAUGAGCUAAAGCACUAGAACUUGAUUUUGGUUUCAAAAUCUGCACAAAAAUGUCAAUUCUGGUUUAAAUUCGUGAAUUUGUUUUCAGCUGGUUUUUGUUGAUUCUGAAGCUUGUUACAACAUUUUUUAGUGUUGUUGAAUGAUGCUAAAAGUGUAGCAGACCAUAACAAGAAAUAAAAUGCAAUAUGCAUAGCUUGGUUGCUCAAAAUCACUAGCAUCUUGACUGUUUCAGCUUUAUUCUAGCUUUUCAUCGUGCUAUCACCUCUUGUUUGGUCUAUUUUUAGUUUAAUCAUACUAAGCAUUGUAAAUCUCGCUUAGUUCUGUAUAAUGACACUUCCUUGAGUCAUUUUCUCUGCUGUCCAACUUUGAAUCCAUGGAAAACUGAAUUUGGUUGGUUAAUUGAUGUGUUUUACUGCAUAAAUUGAUAUAGCAUGGGUGACUUUCAGAGUUUGCUGUUUUCAUGCUUUUGGAAAGCUGGAGCAAGUCUUAAUUGAUGAUUUAAAGUUGCUUAUACUGUUCAUUUGGUCAAAAAUCGGCAUAUAUGCAGAUUUGCAUUUGAAACCAUCAAUUUUUGGUUUAAAAUGGAAGUGAACCAGUGAUUUUGAGUUUUAAACAAUUUUUGAGUUGCUUAAGAGUUUGAACACACUUAAAAUAAUCAAGCAAAGUUGUUUGGUCUCUCACCUAAUCUGUUGAAUCACUUCCACUCGUUUUUGGGUUUAAAACCACCAUUUCAGUCCACUUUUUCUGGUGCAGAAAACACUUUCCAGCCACUGUUUUGGUAUUUCUUGUUCAAAUUCAUUUCUGGAUUGUGGAAAAAGCUGGUUCAGUGUUUAGAUUGAAAUUAAAUGAUCAAAAUAAGUAUAAUCAAGUCUUAAAAAGCUUAUAGAACCGUGCAAUCCAGUGUACAAGCCUUGAAAGUUAAAAAUUCAAAAUGUGAAAUUCAUUGGGGCAUUUUAUCAAACACUUUGCAAAAUAUCGAACAGUUUGAUUCUACAUGUGUUUUGAUCUGCGAUUUUGAUUUCUUUGCUUGUUGAAUCCGUUCUAGCACCUUUCUUAGGAUCCAUUUUGUGUGCCUCCUUGAUUUCUACACAUUUUUCAUUGCUUUUAAGAUUUUUGGCUUCUUAAGUGUCAAUUCUAGAACCACUUUUUGGUGCAAAAAUCUGGUGCAGUAAAUGUUCUGUUUGGUGACUGUGUUGGCUGAUUUCAAUGGUGUUGUGAAGUCCAAUUGGAGCAUUCAAGUUACAGAACCCUUUCCCUACCAAGGUAGCAUCUUAGGAAGUGGAGAGAAACCUGAAUUUGUGAAUUCAAAGGUGCUGUCCAGUAAGCAAAAGUGUGAAAAUUGGCAAUUCCUAUAGCCAAAUUUUGAGAGACCAGUUCCAUACCAAAGUGAAUGGGAGAUUGAGUGUUUGGAACUCAAAAGAAACUUGGUAGAGGAGAGCCAACAACUUAAACCAGUUCAUAAGUGAGAUUGGCGUGGUUGCAUCUAAAGCCAAGUUACCUUUGUUGAGAAAAUAAGUGACCGGUUUUAAGCUGCUGAUUGUUCCAGUUAAUCUGAAAUAAUGACUACUGUCAUUAAAUCUAACACUUUUCUAUGUCUUGAUUAAGCAGCUUAGGGCAAUUUUGAAGCUGAUCGAAAGGAGAAUUAUACUGACUGCACCAAUGCAGCAAUGAUUGGAUAAAUAUGUGUUUGCAAAAGCUAAAUCCAUUUGGUUUUCUGGUUCUGCCUAAUUUAGUUAUAUGUUGUGGCCAUUUUGGUUCAUUAAUUGUGAUUAAUUAGGAAAACACUCUUUGUAUUACAUGCUGUUUGACACUAUUGAAUUGGUGAUCUUGUUGCUUGUGCAAAAUUUGUUUUUGAAAGCUGACACAACAAAGUUUUAUGCAGCAGUAAGACAACAUCAAAUUCAAUUUUAGAACAUGAGUUGCUGCACUUAGGCUCAUAUACUCAUCUUUGCUGAAUUGAAAUUUCAGUUGCACGUGCCAGCCUUGUUGUAUCUAUUGGAUUGUGGUAUAUUGCAGCUGCGUAGAUUUGACUUGGAACAAAUUAUUUAAUCCAGCAGCAACAGUUUUAUAAGACCUUUGAGCUAGGCAAUGUACAGGUCAUCAAGCUUCCAUCUGAUGGCAUCUUAAGUGCAGACUACAAGCUGUUCUCGAAGCUAACAGUAGAAAUUACUUCCUGCAAUGUCUAGUUCUGGUAUACAAGGUUGAAACAGCAAAGAUAUAAAGAUUGAAGGGACAAUUCAACCAAGGAAGCAGCUGAAACGAGCUUCAAAUCAGUGCAUACAUGGAGUAGUAGAGUAGUUUAACUUGAUCCUAUUUGAGUUUUAGAACUUGUAAUCUGUUUCCAUUUUAGUUUUCAUUUGUUUUCUUGUAAAAGGACAUUAAGACCAAGUGUUUGGAAGAGUCCUUGGUGCUCUCUCCACUCUUGGCAAUUUUCUUUGCUUGCUUUGAUAGUAGACGGUGAGUGUGUCUUGUUAGCCAAAGCUACAAGCCUCACCUAGGAUUUCCUUUGUUUUAUUUUCACGAUUUAGGCUUUUGUUCUAUUAGAAGUCCGAAAAUUAUAAGUCUAGGUGUUUUAUCCUUCUUUUUGUUUGUUUGAGUCCAUUUUUAAUUUCAAUAGUGAAUCUUACUUUGAA